AUUGAACGCUGGCGGCAUGCCUAACACAUGCAAGUCGAGCGGUUGAAGGCAGCUUGCUCCUGGCUUCUGCGGCGGACGGGUGUGUUAUGCCUAGAAAUGUGCCUGGUAGGGGGAGAUAACGUCCGGAAACGGGCGCUAAUACCGCAUGCGUCCUGAAUGAGAGAGUGGGGGCUCUUCGGACCUCAUGCUCUCAGAUGAUCCGAGGUCGGGUUAGCUAGUUGGUGGGGUAAAGGCCUACCAAGGCGACGAUCCGUAACUGGUCUGAGAGGAUGAUCAGUCACACUGGAACUGAGACACGGUCCAGACUCCUACGGGAGGCAGCAGUGGGGAAUAUUGGACAAUGGGCGAAAGCCUGAUCCAGCCAUGCCGCGUGUGGGAAGAAGGUCUUCGGAUUGUAAAGCACUUUAAGUUGGGAGGAAGAGCAGUAAGUUAAUACCUUGCUGUUUUGACGUUACCGAAAGAAUAAGCACCGGCUAACUUCGUG
rnacentral:rRNA from 1 species